CGUAAUCUGGAAUAUAUCCGUUCCGCUAAGAGAUUGAAUGCGCGUCAAGCUCCUUGGGCACUAUUUUUUACACGUUUCGAUUUCAUCAUCUCUUACCGCCCUGGCUCGAAGAACGUCAAGCCUGACACGUUGUCCCAUCUCUUUGAUUCCUCGGCCACUGUCACACCCCGGGAAGAGAUUAUUCCUCCCGGUUACGUGGUGGGUAUUAUGGUUUGGGGAAUCGAGAGACAGGUGAGGCGCGCUCUUUCUCGCCUCGAAGCUGCCCUAGGGGCAGUCUCUGUGUCCCGUUGCCUACACGCCUAGCCGUCCUUCAGUGGGCUCAUUCAUCCAAAUUAACUGCUCAUCCUGGCAUCCGGGGUACGAUCGCAUUUAUCCAUUAGCGUUUCUGGUGGCCGACCUUAGACCGUGAUGUGCAUCAUUUCAUCCUGCUCUGUCUUUGCCCAGACCAAGGCGGGCAAUUCCCCACCUGCUGGUCUCCUGCGGCCGCUACGUAUUCCUACUCGCCCGUGGUCCCAUUUAGCUCUCGAUUUUAUUACCGGUCUUCCCCCCUCGGCUGGUAAUACUGUCAUCUUGACCGUAGUCAACUGUUUUUCUAAGUCUGCUCACUUCAUUCCACUUGCCAAGCUCCCCUCUGCCAAGGAUACUGCCCAGAUUAUGGUUAAUAAUGUGUUCAAAUUUCAUGGGCUGCCAACUGACGUCAUGUCCGACAGGGGUCCGCAAUUCGCCUCGCAGUUUUGGAAAGAGUUUUGCCGCCUCAUUGGUGCUACCGCCAGCCUUUCCUCGGGUUUUCAGCCCCAUACUAAUGGUCAGGCCGAAUGGGCCAAUCAAAUUGUUGCCCGCAUUCUCCGCAGUCUAGCCUUUCAUAACCACGCAUCCUGGGCAGAAAAGCUUCCCUGGGCUGAAUAUGCUCAUAACUCUUCCAUCUUCUGCCACAGGUCUCUCACCCUUCCAGUGUUGCCUUGGUUAUCAAACCCCUUUAUUCUCGUCUCAAGAGACCAAUUCUAACUGCCCAUCCGUUCAAACGUUCAUCAGUUGUUGCAAGCGAACUUGGAGGAGGGUAAGAUCUGCCCUUUGUCGUUCGAGAAGCGCAUGAGCAUCGCAGCCAAUAGGUCUCGUGUCAAGAGCCCUCGCUAUAUUUCUGGUCAGAAAGUGUGGCUUUCUACUUCCAAUUUACCUCUCCAAUCUGAGUCUCGUAAACUGGCACCCCGUUUUAUCGGACCAUUCCGCAUAGUCAAGAUCAUUAACCCUGUCGCCGUCAAGCUUCGUCUGCCACCUAAUUUUCUUCGCGUUCACCCUGUAUUUCACGUUUCUUGCAUAAAACCUGUUAACCGCUCACCCCCUCGCUCGUCUUUCUCCGCUGUUCGUAUUGAGGGCUCUCCUGUCUACACUGUCCGCAGGAUCUUGGACAUGUGUCUUCAUGGGUCGUGGGCAUCAAUAUUUGGUCGAUUGGGAGGGGUAUGGUCCUGAGGAGAGAAGCUGGGUUUCCCCCCGGGACAUCCUGGACCCCUCGCUCAUUGAUGAUUUCCUCCAGUCUCGCCAGAGUUCCCCCUCGGGAGCGCCAGGAGGAGCUCAUUGAGGGGAGGGUACUGUCAUGAUCCUGUCUCUUUCUCUAUCUCCCUCUGCUGGUUACUCACACACUCUAUUCCCCAUCACUCUCUGUUUCAUUACUGACAGCUGUUUUCACUUUCCAUUAGGCUUGUUCCUCCCCACCUGUUCCUCAUCCCGUCUCAUUAUGUUGGCUUCUUCUAACCCUCUCUUUCCCCGUCUUGUUGUCAGAUUGUUUGAUGUCACAGAUGUGUAUUGACCAGUGUCUCUUUCACUUGUCCUGUCAUGUUUUGUCGGGGUAUGCUACGAUAUAACUUCCACUGCUGGAAUUACUUUGUGCUUGUCAUUGUACAUCCACAGAACCUUACCUGCUAAAGACUGCAACAGUUUACCUGCUCGGUGCUCUCCGACCGUCUGCCCCUUCGUGAGCUACAAGUGCCUCCGCCUCGCCAGUCCUCUGAUCACCCCUACCACAGAGGAGCUUUGUGUUCACGUUAUUAUACCAAGCCUACGGGUUUCUUCAGUUUGUCAUUCUCUAUUAUUUCUGUUUGGAUUACCUGUGGUCAGACUUUGAUUCGAUUAAAGAACUGUAAUCGUCACCCUCGCGUUUGAGUCCUCUCUACACCUUCACAGAUUGCUUCAUGUAUAAGAACAGGCACCAGAGAAUCUCUGCAUUUCUUUGCAUUUGUCACAGCACGACUUCACUGGGAAAUGGCCACUGCAGGAAAGGUGAUUAAAUGUCGGGCUGCUGUUGCCUGGGAGCCCAAUGCGCCUCUGGUAAUAGAGGAAAUAGAAGUCGGCCCACCUCAGGAAGGAGAAAUAUGAAUUAAGGUGGGAAAUGUCCAAUGAAAGUUGUCACAAACCUAAAGAACUAAUUGAAAAUCAGUUGUUAAAGCAUGUAACACCAUUAACUAUUAACUUGUUCUGGUAAAUUUGGAUUUUCGCAAUCAAAAUUUUAUUGUUUCACCAAAAAGCAACAAUGAUUAGGUACAGAUGAAUCUCUUGGAUGAUCUUAUCAGCUGCUUUCAUAAGUCAUUGUUUAAAUUUCAUUCAUUUGUAAUGAUUGACAGAUGUUUGGCAUUUGUUGUACACA